GAUGAAGAACGCAGUGAAAUGCGAUAAGUAAUGUGAAUUGCAGAAUUCAGUGAAUCAUCGAAUCUUUGAACGCACAUUGCGCCCCUCGGCACUCCGGGGGGCAUGCCUGUCCGAGCGUCAUUGCACCCCUCGAGCCCCCCGUGGCUUGGUCGUGAGCCGCGCCCGCGCCAGCCCCGUCCCCCCCCGUGCAGCGGGGGGCAGGGGCGCCGGGCGGGCUCGAAACGCAGUGGCGGCCCCCGGGCGACUUCCAGCGCGAUGACAUGUUUCGCUGCCGAAGCCUUCGCCCCGGGCGCCCGCCAGGCAACCCCCGUGCUUCUUACGCGGUUGACCUCGGAUCAGGCAGGGAUACCCGCUGAACUUAAGCAUAUCAAUAAGCGGAGGA
rnacentral:misc_RNA from 1 species